GAUGAAGAACGUAGCGAAAUGCGAUAAGUAGUGUGAAUUGCAGAAUUACCUGAAUCAUCGAAUCUUUGAACGCACAUUGCGCCCCCUGGUAUUCCUGGGGGCAUGCCUGUUCGAGCGUCAUUAACAACCAAUCGGGCGGGGCUUUUGCAUGCUCCCGAUCGGCCAUGGGGGAUGGACGUCGUCGGACGCCCACCCCCGAAAUGCAACGGCGGACGGCCACCCGUGGCACUGCGGCGUAGUAAGUUAACCCUUCGCGCGCGCCCACGGAGUGGACUGCCCGGCCGCUUGAACCCCCACACAUCCUACGGUUGACCUCGGAUCAGGUAGGGAUACCCGCUGAACUUAAGCAUAUCAAUAAGCGGAGGA
rnacentral:misc_RNA from 1 species